UGAGUCUGAACAGCACUUCCUCC
rnacentral:piRNA from 1 species